rnacentral:rRNA from 1 species
UACGUAGGGUGCGAGCGUUGCCCGGAUUUAUUGGGCGUAAAGGGCGCGUAGGCGGCCACGCACGUCCGUUGUGAAAUCGCCCGGCUCAACUGGGCGGGGUCAGCGGAUACGGUGUGGCUCGAGCAAGCUAGGGGGCAAUGGAAUUCCCGGUGUAGUGGUGGAAUGCGUAGAUAUCGGGGGGAACACCAGUGGCGAAGGCGGUUGCCUGGAGCUUUGCUGACGCUGAGGCGCGAAAGCGUGGGGAGCGAUCCGG